UGCAUUCACUACUGUAAAUCGCUCUGGAUAAGAGUGUCUGCUAAAAUACAAAAA
rfam:Salmo salar isolate Sally breed double haploid chromosome ssa05, whole genome shotgun sequence.